AGUGAACGCUGGCGGCGCGCCUAAUACAUGCAAGUCGAGCGAGAAGACGUAGCAAUACGUUUGUAAAGCGGCGAACGGGUGAGGAAUACAUGGGUAACCUACCCUAGAGUGGGGAAUAACUAGCCGAAAGGUUAGCUAAUACCGCGUACGCUCCUUGGACUUCGGUUCAGGGAGGAAAGCGAUGCCGAGGGUAUCGCGCUCUUGGAUGGGCUCAUGUCCUAUCAGCUUGUUGGGAGGUAACGGCUCACCAAGGCUUCGACGGGUAGCUGGUCUGAGAGGACGAUCAGCCACACUGGCACUGCGACACGGGCCAGACACCUACGGGUGGCAGCAGUCGAGGAUUUUUCUCAAUGGGGGAAACCCUGAAGGAGCGACGCCGCGUGAGGGAUGAAGGUCUUCGGAUUGUAAACCUCUGUCAUCUGGGAACAAGGUGAUCUACCCAACACGUGGAUUAUUGAUAGUACC
rnacentral:rRNA from 1 species